rnacentral:siRNA from 1 species
CGUCGCGUGGUGUCCGGUGCGCCCC